CAGUCGCCGCGGUAAUACGAAGGGGGCUAGCGUUGCUCGGAAUCACUGGGCGUAAAGGGUGCGUAGGCGGGUCUUUAAGUCAGAGGUGAAAUCCUGGAGCUCAACUCCAGAACUGCCUUUGAUACUGAGGACCUUGAGUUCGGGAGAGGUGAGUGGAACUGCGGGUGUAGAGGUGAAAUUCGUAGAUAUUCGCAAGAACACCAGUGGCGAAGGCGGCUCACUGGCCCGAUACUGACGCUGAGGCACGAAAGCGUGGGGAGCAAACAGGAUUAGAUACCCCUGUAGUCCCUGUCUCUUAUAA
rnacentral:rRNA from 1 species